CCUACGGGAGGCAGCAGUGGGGAAUUUUGGACAAUGGGCGCAAGCCUGAUCCAGCAAUGCCGCGUGAGUGAAGAAGGCCUUCGGGUUGUAAAGCUCUUUUGUCAGGGAAGAAACGGUGGGAGCUAAUAUCUCCUACUAAUGACGGUACCUGAAGAAUAAGCACCGGCUAACUACGUGCCAGCAGCCGCGGUAAUACGUAGGGUGCAAGCGUUAAUCGGAAUUACUGGGCGUAAAGCGUGCGCAGGCGGUUUUGUAAGUCUGUCGUGAAAGCCCCGGGCUCAACCUGGGAAUUGCGAUGGAGACUGCAAGGCUUGAAUCUGGCAGAGGGGGGUAGAAUUCCACGUGUAGCAGUGAAAUGCGUAGAGAUGUGGAGGAACACCGAUGGCGAAGGCAGCCCCCUGGGUCAAGAUUGACGCUCAUGCACGAAAGCGUGGGGAGCAAACAGGAUUAGAUACCCUGGUAGUCCACGCCCUAAACGAUGUCUACUAGUUGUCGGGUUUUAAUUAACUUGGUAACGCAGCUAACGCGUGAAGUAGACCGCCUGGGGAGUACGGUGCAAGAUUAAAACUUAAAUGAAUUGACGGNGNGNGAGNGCGAGACGACGACGAGGAGAG
rnacentral:rRNA from 1 species